rnacentral:rRNA from 1 species
AUCCUGGCUCAGGAUGAACGCUAGCUACAGGCUUAACACAUGCAAGUCGAGGGGAAACGAUAGAGAAAGCUUGCUUUUUCUAGGCGUCGACCGGCGCACGGGUGAGUAACGCGUAUCCAACCUGCCCAUCACUUGGGGAUAACCUUGCGAAAGUAAGACUAAUACCCAAUGACGUCUCUAGAAGACAUCUGAAGGAGAUUAAAGAUUUAUCGGUGAUGGAUGGGGAUGCGUCUGAUUAGCUUGUUGGCGGGGUAACGGCCCACCAAGGCGACGAUCAGUAGGGGUUCUGAGAGGAAGGCCCCCCACAUUGGAACUGAGACACGGUCCAAACGCCUACGGGAGGCAGCAGUGAGGAAUAUUGGUCAAUGGACGAGAGUCUGAACCAGCCAAGUAGCGUGCAGGAUGACGGCCCUAUGGGUUGUAAACUGCUUUUAUAAGGGAAUAAAGUGAGUCUCGUGAGACUUUUUGCAUGUACCUUAUGAAUAAGGACCGGCUAAUUCCGUG